AGGCGUUCUUUCUUUCUUUCAUUUGGAGGAUAUAUCAAACAGUUGCAUGGAAGAACUGACUGAAUUGUCAAUGAGAAGGAGAAGGAGAAAAAGAAUAGAUAGUGAGAUAGAGAGAAGGAGACCCACGCUCGGUGAAAGUCAAGGACAGGACCAUAACUGUGGUGUGUUUGAGUACGUUUACGCGUACAUCCAAGAAUUUCUAACUAUACUUUAAUAGUUGUGUACGCGUGUGUGCGUAUCUACAGUCGUUAUUACUUUGACCAACCAUAAACGCAUACACCAUCGGCUGACGCUGAUCAAAAAAGAAGAAAUUAGGGAAAUUCGCCGAAGUAUGAGAUCGACGCCGAAGAUACCUACGUUUAUAGUGGCGCCGCGAUAGGCAUCCCUGGAAACGUAUCCGGUUCCCGUAGGAGGCGGUGGUGGUGUUUGGCUAAUGCUAGCGGGAGAUGCAGUGGCGGGUACAGAGGUGGGCGGUACAGAUCCAGCAGCGGCAGCAACCACGGCAGCAACGGCAGCUGCGGCGGUCACUGCUGAGGUCGAAUUAGCGGCCACUGCAGCUAUGGCUGCUGAAAUAGCUGAAACCGAUGAUCCCGAGCCAGAGGAUACCGUAGAUGAUGUUUGCGGAUAAGGAUGGAUGUAUCGUAAACCACCUGGCAUUGGUACAGCGACGUAACCCGUCGGUGCACCGCCACCACCGGCACCACCGCCGCCGCCGCCACCGCCACCAGCUCCGCCACCAACAACACCGCCACCACCACCGCCACCGCCGCUGCCGCCUCCACUACCAUUUGGAUUUCCGCUGGACCCUGAUCCACCAUUCCCGCCACCACUGACAUUUCCACCGUUGUUGUUGCUGUUAACAACACCACCACCACCAACAACAACUCCAGCGCCUCCUCCUCCUCCUCCUCCGCCACCUCCGACACCACCCGUACAGUUGCCGCCAUUUCCGUUGUUUCCACUUCCAACCACAGGCGGCGCUACCACGCUCACUCCUCCCACUCCUGCGCUGACGGUGCUGCCACCACCGCCGCCGACACCACCACCGCCGCCAACGUUAACGACACCGACGCCGACGUUCCCAACACCGACGCCGCCAACGCCGACGCCGACACCAACGCCAACCCCGGCACCGCUGCUAUUGCUGCUAUUCGAUGGACCUGACGGAGCAACUGAGUUCGUGGCACCGCUUCCUCCCGUCGCAGCAGCCGCCGACGAUGCUGCUGCUGCACCGCCUUGGACAUACGUUGUUCCUGCACCGGCCGUCCUCGGUGAUACCGGACUACUGCUGCUCUUGAUGUUCACGUAAUUCUGCGUCGGCCUACGAGUGAAGGUUCUUCGUUAGAAUUCUCUUUUUUUUCUUUUAUUAUUUGUUAUUCUUUUCUUUUAUCAUCUUUUAUGUCUUAUUAAGUAAUGAUUAAUGUUUCGAGAUGGGUUUAGUCAAUUUAGUUUAAGAUCGUCGAAAUGUUGCUUUAACUUUGUUUUAACAGUAUAAAGAAGAAUUAUUCUAGGGAAUAUUAUUCGAUUAAAAGAGAUAUGAAAUA